CAGUGUCGUUCACAAUCUCCAGUUCCAACUCACACGGUCAGACCUCACAAGCCACAGCAUUGCCGUCGUUCACUCUCCAGCUCCGAGCUCCCGCGGUCGGCCAUUCGCACACUAUCCCAAUUUCUAGACCUAAUCUCUCCUCCUCUUCACUCCUCAUUUAGCUCGUACGUCGUCAAUGGGUGUUCAAACAAGAAGCAACUACGCUGGUCAGGGGAAAAAAAACAAGAAGAAACUGGACGGACGGCUAUACUUUUAUUUGGUCAAGAUUAUUGUAAUUGUGAUGAACCUUGGUCCCUUGUUUCAUUUGGUAUUAUAUUGUUGAUUAAUUAGAUUAUAUUAGAUUUUGUGUUGUAUUU